rnacentral:rRNA from 1 species
UGCAAGUCGUGCGGUAAGGCCCCUUCGGGGGUACACGAGCGGCGAAAGGGAGAGUAACGCGUGGACUACCUACCCUCGGGUCCGGGAUAGCUGCGGGAAACUGCAGGUAAUACCGGAUAACGUUUCCGAACCAAAGGUGUGAUUCCGCCUGAGGACGGGUCCGCGUCCUAUUAGCUUGUUGGUGAGGUAACGGCUCACCAAGGCUGCGAUGGGUACCGGGUGUGAGAGCAUGACCCGGCUCACUGGGACUGAGACACUGCCCAGACACCUACGGGUGGCUGCAGUCGAGAAUCUUCGGCAAUGGGCGCAAGCCUGACCGAGCGACGCCGCGUGUGGGAUGAAGGCCUUCGGGUUGUAAACCGCUGUCAGUUGGGAGGAAAUGCAUAGGGGUACUCUCCUAUGUUUGACCUAUCUUCAGAGGAAGGACGGGCUAAGUUCGUGCCAGCAGCCGCGGUAAGACGAACCGUCCAAACGUUAUUCGGAAUCACUGGGCUUAAAGGGUGCGUAGGCGGUGCGGGAAGUUGGGUGUGAAAUCCCUCGGCUCAACCGAGGAACUGCGCCCAAAACUCCCGUGCUAGAGGGAGACAGAGGUGAGCGGAACUUAGGGUGGAGCGGUGAAAUGCGUUGAUAUCCUAAGGAACACCUGUGGCGAAAGCGGCUCACUGGGUCUUUUCUGACGCUGAGGCACGAAAGCUAGGGGAGCGAACGGGAUUAGAUACC